rnacentral:rRNA from 1 species
CCAUACCUACGGGGCGCAGCAGUGAGGAAUAUUGGUCAAUGGCCGAGAGGCUGAACCAGCCAAGUCGCGUGAGGGAUGACGGCCCUACGGGUUGUAAACCUCUUUUGUCGGGGAGCAAGACCCGCCUCGUGCAGGCGGAGCGAGAGUACCCGAAGAAAAAGCAUCGGCUAACUCCGUGCCAGCAGCCGCGGUAAUACGUAGGGGGCAAGCGUUAUCCGGAUUUACUGGGAGUAAAGGGAGCGUA